rnacentral:rRNA from 1 species
CUACGGGGGGCUGCAGUGGGGAAUAUUGCACAAUGGGGGAAACCCUGAUGCAGCAACGCCGCGUGGAGGAUGACGCAUUUCGGUGUGUAAACUCCUUUUAACGAGGAAGAAAUUUGACGGUACUCGUUGAAUAAGCACCGGCUAACUCCGUGCCAGCAGCCGCGGUAAUACGGAGGGUGCAAGCGUUACUCGGAAUCACUGGGCGUAAAGGACGCGUAGGCUGUUUGGUAAGUCAGGGGUGAAAUCCUGCGGCUUAACCGCAGAACUGCUCUUGAAACUAUCAAACUAGAGUGAGGGAGAGGCAGAUGGAAUUGGUGGUGUAGGGGUAAUAUCCGUAGAGAUCACCAGGAAUACCGAUUGCGAAGGCGAUCUGCUGGAACUUAACUGACGCUGAGGCGUGAAAGCGUGGGGAGCAAACAGGAUUAGAUACCCCAGUAGUC